UACGGAGGGUGCAAGCGUUAUCCGGAUUUACUGGGUUUAAAGGGUGCGUAGGUGGGUCUGUAAGUCAGUGGUGAAAUCUUCGAGCUUAACUCGGAAACUGCCAUUGAUACUAUAGGUCUUGAAUUAUCUGGAGGUAAGCGGAAUAUGUCAUGUAGCGGUGAAAAUGCUUAGAUAUGACAUAGAACACCAAUUGCGAAAGGCAGCUUACUACGGAUGAUUGACACUGAGGCACGAAAGCGUGGGGGAUCAAAACAGG
rnacentral:rRNA from 1 species